AUGCUGUACAAACACAAGGAGAUAUUCAAAACAGAAGUAUGUUUUGUGGUAUGUGGGCCAUCAAUUGUAUGUGCACAGCGGGUCGACCGGUUUGCCGGGACACUUCUUGUCACCUCCAUGGAUGAAGUUGGAAGAGCAUUCUGCCAAAAAACAAAGAAGACGGAACAACCCCCCUUCACUAAAGUACAACUCAGUGUUUCCCACGUGCUCCGGUGCAGGAGGAGGAGCAGCAGGAGGAGGAGCAGGAGGAGCAUCGUGAGGAGGAGGAGGGGGAGCAGCAGCAGGAGCAGGGGGAGGAGCAGGAGGAGGAGGGGAGCAGCAGGAGGAGGAGGGGGAGGAGGGGCAGCAGGAGGAGGAGGAGCAGCAGCAGGAGCAGGGGGAGGAGGAGGAGGAGGGGGAGCAGCAGGGGGAGGGAGGAGCAGCAGGGGGAGGAGGAGGAGGAGGAGCAGCAGGAGGAGGAGGAGGAGCAGGGGAGGAGGAGCAGGAGGAGGAGCAGCAGGAGGAGGAGGGGGGGGAGCAGGGGGAGGAGGAGCAGCAGGAGGAGGAGGAGGAGCAGCAACAGCAGCAGGAGGAGGAGGGGGAGCAGCAGCAGGAGCAGGGGGAGGAGGAGCAGCAGCAGGAGGAGGAGGAGGGGGAGCAGGGGGGAGGAGGAGGAGCAGCAGGAGGAGGAGGAGGAGCAGCAACAGCAGCAGGAGGAGGAGGAGGGGGAGCAGCAGCAGGGGGAGGAGGAGCAGCAGCAGGAGGAGGAGGAGGGGGAGGAGGAGCAGCAGGAGGAGGAGCCUCAGCAGGAGCAGGGGGAGGAGAAGGAGGAGGAGGAGGAGCAGCAGCAGGAGGAGGAGGAGAAGGAGCAGCAGGAGCAGGAGGAGCAGGAACAGCAGGAGGAGGAGGAGCAGGAGGACGAGGAGGAGGAGGAGUAGGAGGAGCAGGAGGAAGAGGAAGAGGAGGAGCAGCAUGAGGAGGAGGAGGAGGAGGAGCAGCAGGAGGAGGAGGAGCAGGAGGACGAGGAGGAGGAGGAGGAGGAGUAGGAGGAGCAGGAGGAAGAGGAGGAGCAGCAUGAGGAGCAGGAGGAGGGGGAGGAGAAGGAGGAGAAGGAGCAGGAGGAGGAGGAGCAGCAGGAGGAGGAGGAAGAGGAGGAGCAGGGGGAAGAGGAGGAGCAGGAGGAGGAGGAGCAGAAGGAGGAGAAGGAGCAGCAGGAGGAGGAGGAAGAGGAGGAGCAGGAGGAGGAGGAGGAGCAGAAGGAGGAAGAGGAGGAGCAGGAGGAGGAGGAGGAGCAGAAGGAGGAGAAGGAGCAGCAGGAGGAGGAGCAGGAGGAGGAGGAGGAGCAGCAGGAGCAGGAGGAGGAGGAAGAGGAGGAGCAGGAGGAGGAGGAGGAGCAGGAGGAGAAGGAGCAGCAGGAGGAGGAGGAAGAGGAGGAGCAGGAGGAGGAGGAGGAGCAGAAGGAGGAGAAGGAGCAGCAGGAGGAGGAGGAAGCAGGUCCGCUCUCUGUCGUAA
ensembl:lncRNA